AGAACCUUUAACUUAGUCCCGUGAGGCUAACAAGGCGUCGUUUAACGUGUGGCGAAAUUUGACCACCGACUAGACACCUCUGUGCCCACGGGCAAUGAGGUGUUUUUCGU
rfam:Lactobacillus kimchicus JCM 15530 Scaffold2, whole genome shotgun sequence.